GAUGAACGCUGGCGGCGUGCCUAAUACAUGCAAGUCGAGCGCACGGACGAGAAGCUUGCUUCUCUGAUGUUAGCGGCGGACGGGUGAGUAACACGUGGAUAACCUACCUAUAAGACUGGGAUAACUUCGGGAAACCGGAGCUAAUACCGGAUAAUAUUUUGAACCGCAUGGUUCAAAAGUGAAAGACGGUCUUGCUGUCACUUAUAGAUGGAUCCGCGCUGCAUUAGCUAGUUGGUAAGGUAACGGCUUACCAAGGCAACGAUGCAUAGCCGACCUGAGAGGGUGAUCGGCCACACUGGAACUGAGACACGGUCCAGACUCCUACGGGAGGCAGCAGUAGGGAAUCUUCCGCAAUGGGCGAAAGCCUGACGGAGCAACGCCGCGUGAGUGAUGAAGGUCUUCGGAUCGUAAAACUCUGUUAUUAGGGAAGAACAUAUGUGUAAGUAACUGUGCACAUCAUGACGGUACCUAAUCAGAAAGCCACGGCUAACUACGUG
rnacentral:rRNA from 1 species